rnacentral:rRNA from 1 species
AUACGGAGGGUCCAAGCGUUGUUCGGAUUUAUUGGGCGUAAAGCGAGUGUAGGCGGUUUGACAAGUCGGAUGUGAAAUCCCAGGGCCCAACCCUGGAACUGCAUCCGAUACUGUCAGGCUAGAGUCCCGGAGAGGGUGGCGGAAUUCCCGGUGUAGGGGUGAAAUCCGUAGAUAUCGGGAGGAACACCAGUGGCGAAGGCGGCCACCUGGACGGUGUCUGACGCUGAGACUCGAAAGCGUGGGUAGCAAACAGGAUUAGAAACCCCGGUAGUCC